GGGAAGUUGGCUCAGUGGUAGAGUGCUUGCCUCGCAUGCAUGAGGUCCUAGGUUCGAUUCCUCAGCACCACA
rnacentral:tRNA from 1 species